CAAUCUGAGCACCUACUAGGCAGAAACAAAGAUUUUAGCUAUAUCUGCCCCUGCUCUUUGUCUGCUUAUUCACUUUAUCUUCAUUAAGAUUCUUUAGGUCUAUUGAAAAUGGUGAAGGAUAUAGACCAGACUGUUUCCUUCAGCAAAAGGAAUACCAUCUGGAAUUUUUCCCAAGGAGAAUCAUGCUGAUCUCCUCAGCUGAAGACUAUUCCAAAGAGAACAAGAAUUAAGAAAAACAAUCUCUACCAUACUAGAGAUUCCCUGGAGGGGAAGAACAUGUCU